CAAAACUUAGGAUAAAAGUAGCGGCUUAUAGUCCGGAAAAUACAAUAAUAAUUGUAAAUUCUUUUUACUUUUUUAUUUUAUUUUAUUUUUUUUGUGUUUUUAUUUCAGCUGCAGCGUGGAUAGAAGGAGAUUUACAGUUACAGAUAGGAGAAGCUCUAGCACAGAUAUCAGAAG